GUUUACGGCCACACCGGCCUGAGUACGCCUGAUCUUGUCCGAUCUCGGAAGCUAAGCAGGGUCGGGCCUGGUUAGUACUUGAAUGGGAGACCGCCUGGGAAUACCAGGUGCUGUAAGCU
rnacentral:rRNA from 1 species